AUCAGUAGCCCAUAUGAGCGCAUAUUCAAUUCAUCAUCGGUCAAAAGUAAAAAUUGCAAACUUAACAAAAUUGACCCAAAAGUCAAAAUUGCAAUUACGUUCCCUUUUGCGUGUACUUGUUUGCUUAUCACGAGAACGACGAAGCCUUCGCCUUCAGCCGACGACGCCUCCGCAUCCGCCUCUGGCCAACGACGCCUCUGCCUCCGGUCUUCGGUCGAAGACACAGACGAAGUCUCCUACUCCGCCCUGCAGCUGCUUCCGCCUCCUCCUUUCACGUUGUUUACAGGCUGUCAGUUUGAGCAGCACUGCAACCAGGUUGGCACUUGAGGUUUCCUUUAUUAAAUCGGGUUGAACAUCAUCAAUUCCAAUUGAGAAUCCACCGAGCACUGCAUCAAAAUAAUCUCAUCAUACACUUUCACCAAACAUUUAUUCAGAGCUCACAACUUCUCCUAUAGCAGCAGCCUCACUUGGGCAGGAACUUAGGAUUGGCUCUUCGACGUUUUCCUCAGGACCAAAAGAUUCAGAGACUAUUCCAAUCUCAUACGUAUAUAAUCCUUUUAGUGCAAUCAACAAUUGUCUGAUUGGAGUGUGGUUACUACGUUAUGAACUGGAUGCAUGAGUUUGUACUUUUUCGACAACAUGGAUUUCCGAAUAACAUUUGGAAGGACAAAAAACCAUUUUCUAGUGAGGAAUUGGAUGAACGUGUUAAAACAUGGAUGAGAACUUUUGGAGAUAAAGUGAAGUCUUUUUCAAGUUAACGGUUAGUUGUUCUAUAUACAUUGUUAUAAUUGGUUAUGUUUUUCAAAAAACCAUUUUCUAGUGAGGAAUUGGACGAAAGUUUUUUUUAUGGAAAAUGUGAUAUAUAAAAGUAGGAUGCUAUAUUUUGUGUUUUAUUGUGGAAGUUUGCAGAUUUCGAGUUAAGGAGGUUGCUGUUAUGGAGGUACACAAACAUCCCUUGUAUUUCAUGUUGUAUUUGCUCAUAUUUUUUAUGUUAUGGAGAAGUUUUCACCCUUACAUUGCUAUAGAUGAAGGUGUUGAUGGCAGGAAUGUCCAAUAAUUUGAGUUUUCUUCAUUAAAAGUUAUUUGAGAUUUUGAAUCCUAAGUUUUCUUGUUUUUGUAGGCAUACACUGAAUUAGCCACAAAGGGGAAAGAGAGGUCAGAUGUGUGACAUUAACAAAUUUAAGAAUGUUUUUAUGUUUAAUGAACUAGGUAUACAACUUUUAGAUUGUAUAGAUUGUAGUAUGAAAGAAUAUUAAUGUUUUUAUGUUUAAUGAACUAAAUAGUUAUUGUAA